rnacentral:misc_RNA from 1 species
GAUGAAGAACGUAGCGAAAUGCGAUAAGUAGUGUGAAUUGCAGAAUUCAGUGAAUCAUCGAAUCUUUGAACGCACCUUGCGCCCUUUGGCUAUUCCGAAGGGCAUGCCUGUUUGAGUAUCAUGAACACCUCAACUCUCAUGGUUUUUCCAUGAUGGGCUUGGACUUUGGGGGUCUUGCUGGCCUAUAGUCAGCUCCUCUUAAAUGAAUCAGCUUGCCAGUGUUUGGUGGCAUCACAGGUGUGAUAACUAUCUACGCUUGUGGUUUUCCACUAGGUAACCUUCAGCAAUGGAGGUUCACCGGAGCUCACAAAUGUCUCUCCUUGCCAAGGACAGAUUUUGACCAUUUGAUCUCAAAUCAGGUAGGACUACCCGCUGAACUUAAGCAUAUCAAUAAGCGGAGGA